AGUGAACGCUGGCGGUAGGCCUAACACAUGCAAGUCGAACGGCAGCACAGUAAGAGCUUGCUCUUACGGGUGGCGAGUGGCGGACGGGUGAGGAAUACAUCGGAAUCUACUUUCUCGUGGGGGAUAACGUAGGGAAACUUACGCUAAUACCGCAUACGACCUACGGGUGAAAGCAGGGGAUCUUCGGACCUUGCGCGAUUGAAUGAGCCGAUGUCGGAUUAGCUAGUUGGCGGGGUAAAGGCCCACCAAGGCGACGAUCCGUAGCUGGUCUGAGAGGAUGAUCAGCCACACUGGAACUGAGACACGGUCCAGACUCCUACGGGAGGCAGCAGUGGGGAAUAUUGGACAAUGGGCGCAAGCCUGAUCCAGCCAUACCGCGUGGGUGAAGAAGGCCUUCGGGUUGUAAAGCCCUUUUGUUGGGAAAGAAAAGCAGCAGGUGAAUACCCCGCUGUUCUGACGGUACCCAAAGAAUAAGCACCGGCUAACUUCGUG
rnacentral:rRNA from 1 species